UACGUAGGGAGCGAGCGUUGUCCGAAGUUACUGGGCGUAAAGCGCGCGUAGGCGGGUUAUUAAGUGAGAGGUGAAAUUCCAGGGCUCAACCCGGGGACUGCCUCUCAUACUGAUAGUCUUGAGUGAGGUAGAGAGAAGUGGAAUGGCUGGUGUAGCGGUGAAAUGCGUAGAUAUCAGUCGGAACACCGGUGGCGAAGGCGGCUUCUUGGGCCUUUACUGACGCUGAUGCGCGAAAGCCAGGGUAGCGAACGGG
rnacentral:rRNA from 2 species